ensembl:lncRNA
GCUAAGGACUCCUGACCUGUGACGCUGGGGAACGCACACACAGAUGACUAGUUUCUCAGCGUCCUCCCCUCCUGACACAGCUGGCCCCUUCCCUCUACUUUUCAGUGACAUAGGCACAGGCCCAGAGGAGGGGGGUUAUGCUUUCCUAGUUCUGUCCCUCGCCCGCCGCCCUGACACCGUAACUCAAAGACAGCGUGGUGUUUGUGCCGACUGCUCAUCUCUUUUCACCCGUUAGCCUGUGGAGGCUUUGUGAUUAUCCACACUGAGUUGAUUGGCGCUCUCAUGAUUAGUGCAAACCCUGUAGGAAGAGAUGGAUGUGGAAACUCUCUGCCUUCCUUGGUUCCUGGACAUCAGAGAUCUUCUUGAUGGGUCCCCUCUGGUUACUCCAUCUUCAUCCCAAAGAAACAAUUACUCUACCCCAUCUUGUCUCAUGCUUUUGUGCGCAGUGCACACUCUGUUCCAAACGCUGGGGGUCCGGGGGGCUGUCUUACUCAUCCCUGAAAAUCUACCCCAGUGGUGAGCCUCAGUGAACCUCCUGUCUGCCCAGCUUCCCCUCCUCUCCAGUCUCCAAA